AUACGUAGGUGGCGAGCGUUGUCCGGAAUUACUGGGCGUAAAGGAUGCGUAGGUGGAUAUUUAAGUGGGAUGUGAAAUCCCCGGGCUCAACCCGGGAACUGCAUUCCAAACUGGGUAUCUAGAGUGCAGGAGAGGAAAGCGGAAUUCCUAGUGUAGCGGUGAAAUGCGUGGAUAUUAGGAGUAACACCAGUGGCGAAGGCGGCUUCCUGGACUGUAACUGACACUGAGGACUGAAAGCGUGGGUAGCAAACAGGAUUAGAUCCCGUGGUAGUCCACGCCGUAAACGAUGGGUACGAGGUGUAGGAGGUAUCGACCCCUUCUGUGCCGUCGUUAACACAAUAAGGUCCCCGCCUGGGGAGUACGGUCGCAAGACUAAAACUCAAAUGAAUUGACGGGG
rnacentral:rRNA from 1 species